rnacentral:rRNA from 1 species
AUUGAACGCUGGCGGCAGGCCUAACACAUGCAAGUCGGGCGGUAGCACGGGAGAGCUUGCUCUCCGGGUGACGAGCGGCGGACGGGUGAGUAAUGUCUGGGAAACUGCCUGAUGGAGGGGGAUAACUACUGGAAACGGUAGCUAAUACCGCAUAACGUCGCAAGACCAAAGAGGGGGACCUUCGGGCCUCUUGCCAUCGGGUGUGCCCAGAUGGGAUUAGCUAGUAGGUGAGGUAAAGGCUCACCUAGGCGACGAUCCCUAGCUGGUCUGAGAGGAUGACCAGCCACACUGGAACUGAGACACGGUCCAGACUCCUACGGGAGGCAGCAGUGGGGAAUAUUGCACAAUGGGCGCAAGCCUGAUGCAGCCAUGCCGCGUGUAUGAAGAAGGCCUUCGGGUUGUAAAGUACUUUCAGCGGGGAGGAAGGUGUUGUGGUUAAUAACCGCAGCAAUUGACGUUACCCGCAGAAGAAGCACCGGCUAACUCCGUGCCAGCCGCCGCCGUAA